CGAAAGGGGUGCUAAUACCGGAUGUCUUCUUGUGGUCGCAUGGCUGCGGGAAGAAAGAUUUAUCGGUUUGGGAGGGCUUCGCGGCCUAUCAGCUUGUUGGUGGGGUAAUGGCCUACCAAGGCGUCGACGGGUAGCUGGUCUGAGAGGAUGAUCAGCCACACUGGGACUGAGACACGGCCCAGACUCCUACGGGAGGCAGCAGUGGGGAAUCUUGCUCAAUGGGCGAAAGCCUGAAGCAGCAACGCCGCGUGCGGGAUGAAGGCCCUCGGGUUGUAAACCGCUUUCAGCAGGAACGAAUCUGACGGUACCUGCAGAAGAAGGUCCGGCCAACUACGUGCCAGCAGCCGCGGUAACACGUAGGGACCAAGCGUUGUCCGGAUUUAUUGGGCGUAAAGAGCUCGUAGGCGGUUCGGUAAGUCGGGUGUGAAAACUUCGGGCUUAACUCGAAGCAUGCAUCCGAUACUGCUGUGACUUGAGUCCGGUAGGGGAGUGGGGAAUUCCUGGUGUAGCGGUGAAAUGCGCAGAUAUCAGGAGGAACACCGGUGGCGAAGGCGCCACUCUGGGCCGGUACUGACGCUGAGGAGCGAAAGCGUGGGUAGCAAACAGGAUUAGAUACCCUGGUAGUCCACGCUGUAAACGUUGGGCACUAGGUGUGGGCUCUAACCAACGGAGUCCGUGCCGCAGCUAACGCAUUAAG
rnacentral:rRNA from 1 species